rnacentral:rRNA from 1 species
CACGCAGGCGGUUUGUUAAGUCAGAUGUGAAAUCCCCGGGCUCAACCUGGGAACUGCAUCUGAUACUGGCAAGCUUGAGUCUCGUAGAGGGGGUAGGAAUUCCAGGUGUAGCGGUGAAAUGCGUAGAGAUCUGGAGGAAUACCGGUGGCGAAGACGGCCCCUGGACGAAGACUGACGCUCAGGUGCGAAAGCGUGGGGAGCAAACA